rnacentral:rRNA from 1 species
CCUACGGGAGGCAGCAGUGGGGAAUUUUGGACAAUGGGCGCAAGCCUGAUCCAGCCAUGCCGCGUGCGGGAAGAAGGCCUUCGGGUUGUAAACCGCUUUUGUCAGGGAAGAAACGGUCUGGGUUAAUACCCUGGGCUAAUGACGGUACCUGAAGAAUAAGCACCGGCUAACUACGUGCCAGCAGCCGCGGUAAUACGUAGGGUGCAAGCGUUAAUCGGAAUUACUGGGCGUAAAGCGUGCGCAGGCGGUUGUGCAAGACAGAUGUGAAAUCCCCGGGCUCAACCUGGGAACUGCAUUUGUGACUGCACAGCUAGAGUACGGUAGAGGGGGAUGGAAUUCCGCGUGUAGCAGUGAAAUGCGUAGAUAUGCGGAGGAACACCGAUGGCGAAGGCAAUCCCCUGGACCUGUACUGACGCUCAUGCACGAAAGCGUGGGGAGCAAACAGGAUUAGAUACCCUGGUAGUCCACGCCCUAAACGAUGUCAACUGGUUGUUGGGAAGGUUCCUUCUCAGUAACGUAGCUAACGCGUGAAGUUGACCGCCUGGGGAGUACGGCCGCAAGGUUGAAACUUAAGGAAUUGACGGCUGNGAGNGCGAGCGACGACGAGGGAGGAGG